CAUGCAAGUCGAGCGGACAGAUGGGAGCUUGCUCCCUGAUGUUAGCGGCGGACGGGUGAGUAACACGUGGGUAACCUGCCUGUAAGACUGGGAUAACUCCGGGAAACCGGGGCUAAUACCGGAUGCUUGAUUGAACCGCAGGUUCAAUUAUAAAAGGUGGCUUUUAGCUACCACUUACGAUGGACCCGCGGCGCACUAGCUGGUUGGUGAGGUAACGGCUCACCAAGGCAACGAUGCGUAGCCAACCUGAGAGGGUGAUCGGCCACACUGGGACUGAGACACGGCCCACACCCCUACGGGAGGCAGCAUUAGGGAAUCUUCCGCAAUG
rnacentral:rRNA from 1 species